rnacentral:lncRNA from 1 species
CUCUAACGUAUCUAUCUUCACAGAAAACUCGUGGAACCCUUGUUUCCAUUGUGCUGAUUAAGAAAGUGAUAUAUGGAGAGACCAAAAUUAAGAAAGAUCAUAAAGGGUUUAGACAGCUUUCUGCCAAUUUGGUUGUCUACAUCCAAAAGUGCAACAAGUAGCUGCUUAGCCCUGCAGCUUCCUAAAAGUAUGUGGGUAACACGUGACAGUUUACAUGUGAUUCUACAUGGUCCAGAGACAGUAACUCCGUGGACAUGCUUCAAGGGUGGUGGGAAUGCUAUGCCCAGAAGACAGGAGGCAGCAUUUCUAAUGUGCAUGCCUGUGAGGACCCCGGUGUUCAGCCCUCCGUUAUGAAUUCACACAGACAGCACUGCGGCACACACACAGAUUUUGCUGCUGCUGCAAACCUGGGAUCACGGCUGCGAUGCAGAGAUCCUGCUGGCUGACUAUUUAAACCUGCAUUCGGAAGUCAUCACUCUGUACUGCUUGUGCGAUUGCAGACCAUUAGUUUCCUAAGCCCUUCUUUCCCUUUUUCCACCUGUAUAAUAAGGAAGUGAACGUGAUAGCCUGUUAGCAGUGUGACAGUGCUGACUUUUAGCCCCGAGACCGUAUUCAACAAGGGAAUGUUCUAACCUUCAUCUCCUGGAAGUCUCCUAUCUGUUACAUGCCCGGAGCUAUUACCCACUAAAGGACUUCACAUUUUUGAAUACUUAAACUGAAAGAAACAGAUAUGGGAGGAACUACAUAAAUCCAUUAUUGCAGCAGAAAUAUCUUUCUGCUUCAGGCAUAGAAGAUAAAUUGCCACCAAAGUGAUACAAAGUUGGUUUGAUUAUUUCAUUGGAUCAAAUAUAUCAUGCUGUCUUGAAAUCUGCUUUCAAGUCAAAAUUAAAGAAUUUUAC